rnacentral:rRNA from 1 species
GAAUGCUGACAUAAGUAACGAUAAAGCGGGUGAAAAGCCCGCUCGCCGGAAGACCAAGGGUUCCUGUCCAACGUUAAUCGGGGCAGGGUGAGUCGACCCCUAAGGCGAGGCCGAAAGGCGUAGUCGAUGGGAAACGGGUUAAUAUUCCCGUACUUGGUGUUACUGCGAAGGGGGGACGGAGAAGGCUAUGUUGGCCGGGCGACGGUUGUCCCGGUUUAAGCGUGUAGGUGUGUGUUCCAGGUAAAUCCGGUUCACUUUAACACUGAGGCGUGACGACGAGGCACUACGGUGCUGAAGCAACAAAUGCCCUGCUUCCAGGAAAAGCCUCUAAGCAUCAGGUAACAUCAAAUCGUACCCCAAACCGACACAGGUGGUCAGGUAGAGAAUACCAAGGCGCUUGAGAGAACUCGGGUGAAGGAACUAGGCAAAAUGGUGCCGUAACUUCGGGAGAAGGCACGCUGACACGUAGGUGAAGUGAUUUACUCAUGGAGCUGAAGUCAGUCGAAGAUACCAGCUGGCUGCAACUGUUUAUUAAAAACACAGCACUGUGCAAACACGAAAGUGGACGUAUACGGUGUGACGCCUGCCCGGUGCCGGAAGGUUAAUUGAUGGGGUCAGCGCAAGCGAAGCUCCUGAUCGAAGCCCCGGUAAACGGCGGCCGUAACUAUAACGGUCCUAAGGUAGCGAAAUUCCUUGUCGGGUAAGUUCCGACCUGCACGAAUGGCGUAAUGAUGGCCAGGCUGUCUCCACCCGAGACUCAGUGAAAUUGAACUCGCUGUGAAGAUGCAGUGUACCCGCGGCAAGACGGAAAGACCCCGUGAACCUUUACUAUAGCUUGACACUGAACAUUGAGCCUUGAUGUGUAGGAUAGGUGGGAGGCUUUGAAGUGUGGACGCCAGUCUGCAUGGAGCCGACCUUGAAAUACCACCCUUUAAUGUUUGAUGUUCUAACGUGGACCCGUUACCCGGGUUGCGGACAGUGUCUGGUGGGUAGUUUGACUGGGGCGGUCUCCUCCUAAAGAGUAACGGAGGAGCACGAAGGUUGGCUAAUCCUGGUCGGACAUCAGGAGGUUAGUGCAAUGGCAUAAGCCAGCUUGACUGCGAGCGUGACGGCGCGAGCAGGUGCGAAAGCAGGUCAUAGUGAUCCGGUGGUUCUGAAUGGAAGGGCCAUCGCUCAACGGAUAAAAGGUACUCCGGGGAUAACAGGCUGAUACCGCCCAAGAGUUCAUAUCGACGGCGGUGUUUGGCACCUCGAUGUCGGCUCAUCACAUCCUGGGGCUGAAGUAGGUCCCAAGGGUAUGGCUGUUCGCCAUUUAAAGUGGUACGCGAGCUGGGUUUAGAACGUCGUGAGACAGUUCGGUCCCUAUCUGCCGUGGGCGCUGGAGAACUGAGGGGGGCUGCUCCUAGUACGAGAGGACCGGAGUGGACGCAUCACUGGUGUUCGGGUUGUCAUGCCAAUGGCACUGCCCGGUAGCUAAAUGCGGAAGAGAUAAGUGCUGAAAGCAUCUAAGCACGAAACUUGCCCCGAGAUGAGUUCUCCCUGAGACUUAGAGUCUCCUGAAGGAACGUUGAAGACGACG